GGAGGGGGCAAGCGUUGUUCAGAAUUACUGGGCGUAAAGGGCGCGUAGGCGGCCUGCCAAGUCAGGGGUGAAAGGCCCGGGCUCAACCCGGGAACUGCCCUUGAAACUGGCAAGCUAGAGUCCGAGAGAGGAUGGCGGAAUUCCCAGUGUAGAGGUGAAAUUCGUAGAUAUUGGGAAGAACACCGGUGGCGAAGGCGGCCAUCUGGCUCGGCACUGACGCUGAGGCGCGAAAGCGUGGGGAGCAAACAGGAUUAGAUACCCUGGUAGUCCACGCCGUAAACGAUGUGUGCUAGACGUUGGAGGUCUUAGGCCUUGGUGUCGCAGCUAACGCGUUAAGCACACCGCCUGGGGGAGUACGGCCGCAAGGUUA
rnacentral:rRNA from 1 species